GUUGCAAAAGUAUUUUUAAUGUCUAGAUUUUAUACUUGUGCUAAAUGUAAGUACCUAGCCGCCAUUUUGUUCUUGAAAUGUGCAAUCCAUGUGCUCAGUGUAUCUGGACGAUGUCAUUUCGUAAUUUUAACUGUUGCUACAAUUGUUACUCGUAAUAUUUUACAUCUUAUUACAUAAUAAAAUAUUAAAUGAAUCGAUUUUACGAAAUGACAUCGACACGUCAUGACCUUUGUAUGACCUUGUUCGUACUGUAACGACACUCAUUCCAAAUUCUAUUUAAUUUGCUAAAUUGAACUAUUCUGAUUUAAUUCUACUGUUCUAAUUAUUCUAAAUUAUUGCCUACCUAUAUUGUUCUAUAAAUUAAUUGCCUACAUAGAUGAUAUGCUAAAUUAUUUUCUACCUACAUAAUUUAAUAUUCUGCCUACUUCACUUCACCUUUCACUACUGUAAUUCUGUUUGACUGCCACAUCAUUACAUCACCAUUUAUUACCAAAAUCAUUCCAUCUGCUUCGCUAGUAUUUUGAUGUCGCAGUCAAACGGACAAAAGCUAGCAACUGCUUUAGUGUCCGCUUUGAUUCGCAGGGUUCACGUUCACCUACAUCUUCUACGCCUACCUACUACACCAUGCAUGGUCACCACUGCCGAACCUACCACCUGGCUCUUCAACCCGGCAGAGCUUCCUGCCGUGUCGGACGGCCCGUGCGCACACUCUAAGUGGCCCUACACCACAGUGCGUACGGCCCUAGCCGUCUGGCGCGUCGACGACUCUGCGGGCCUACCAACUCGAAGAACCAACCCACAUCACCAUCAAUGCUAGCGAGGACAGUGGUUUGAAUAUACUACCACCGGUGACGAAUCUCGUGCGAUACGAUAGUUUGCUCGUAACCCACACCCUUAAGGUCUCUUGCUACUUAAUUCUUAAUAAAUUAUACUUGUUAACCUAAAUUAUCUUUUAUUUCUCUAACUAUUAAUCUAAAUUCAAUCAUGUCACAGCUCCUAAAGCUCUAACCGUGACAUUGGCGCCCAUACCGGUCUAUUCUAUCGCACUUGAGACGUUACCAGGUUCACGUUCACCUACAUCUUCUACGCCUACCUACUACACCAUGCAUGGUCACCACUGCCGAACCUACCACCUGGCUCUUCAACCCGGCAGAGCUGCCUGCCGUGUCGGACGGCCCGUGCGCACACUCUAAGUGGCCCUACACCACAGUGCGUACGGCCCUAGCCGUCUGGCGCGUCGACGACUCUGCGGGCCUACCAACUCGAAGAACCAACCCACAUCACCAUCAAUGCUAGCGAGGACAGUGGUUUGAAUAUACUACCACCGGUGACGAAUCUCGUGCGAUACGAUAGUUUGCUCGUAACCCACACCCUUAAGGUCUCUUGCUACUUAAUUCUUAAUAAAUUAUACUUGUUAACCUAAA